UCCUGACGUGCAUAGUUAGGGUUGAGGCAUGACUUAACAGACACCAAAUUCCAAAGGGGCCGAAAUGUCCGAGUACCGUGAAGAACGGGACACACAUUCUGAAAAUCCUUAAAUUCCAGGUGUCAUCGCUGGGAAGGACUGUUGGUGGCCUCUCUCCUUUGGAAGCUUGUAUGAUACCUUCUGGAACCAAGAAAGCUGGUCCUAGCCAGGGAGAGGACAUCCGCUGUUUCCUGAAGCAAACACCGGGACCAAGUACACUCGGUUGUCUCACACACUCACAAUAAAAGUCUCUGGCCUAGGGUCCAAGUUCUGCUUGGUACAUCACGGAUGGCCCCUUCUGCCUCUGGCGUCUCCAGCGUCUUCUGUCUGGACUCCUCCUGGUGUACUAGCCUCUGGCCACAUGUCUUUCACUGGGACCAAGCACACUCAGUUGUCUCUCACACUCGAGCAAAAGUCUCUGGCCCCAGGGCAAUUCUGGAGACAAGAAAAACAUCAGUUCUUACUGCAGUUCCUACGCAGAGCGAUCAUCAUGAAGUGCUGAUGGAGAGCCCUUGGAAGAUGCUCGGGGAGGUGCACAUGAAAGCAAGUUAGGCUGGUGGCAGCAGCAGCUCUUCCAGAGCCUCUUUCAGGACAGCCUACCCCAUGCACAUGAAUGUGCACUCCUGAAAUAAAGCCUUC